GUUUCAUGCGUCUGAAAGUACCGCAUUGUAGCCCUCGCAUCAAUUUCCGCCGUGAGUUUGACUUCCGGUCUGUUGCGAUGAAUCGCUUGCUCAGGGAGCGAGGACAUGUUUCUAAAUAUGAAUAAAAAAAAAUAAAUUAACUAAAGGCGUUCUUGAGAAAAAUGGAGGAAGAAAUUAUAACGACAUUUUCCCAAAUAGCAUUACAACUACAAAGCUGGCGCUGGCUAGCUAGCUUAUUUUCAUUACAAUAGCAUGGCUAGUUAGCAAUAGUCUUCUGUCUAGACUGUAACUAAUGGUUGUUGCGUUGUUGGAACAGAGCAAUAGUUCGUUGUACUUGUCAUUUGGUUGAGACUAAUAUUAGUUUAGAAAAUAAUUGUUUACAUUGUGCAAUUGGUUGGCUUUGCUAGUUAGCAAGCUGAGAUUUAUUUGCUCAUGUUGGCUAAUCUAACUAUUAGCAAAUUGUUUAGGACAACAGGUUAGCGCCUUGCAUAAAUCUAGACAAUAGAGAAUGGGGAAUAAGAUCUGUCUGUUGCAGUGCCCAGACCAGGUGAGAGCCAACUGCUACAGAGAUAAAAAGCCACAACAUGAUGAUCAGGAGGUCAAAGCAUCUGAAGAAGAGGACAAAAGCCUGCUUUGGAUGAGCAAGCUAGAACAAUAACAACUAGCUAUAUCAGAUAAACAUGUCUAGGAGAAGCAGGGCGAGAGCAAGCUAGUAGUAGUAACAUUAUUUGAAACCUCACAUGCAUCUGUGUUAUAUUUAAGUAAUAAGGCACCUCAGGGGUUUGUGGUAUAUGGACAAUAUACCACGGCUUAGGGCUGUAUAUGCGUUGCGUCAUGCCUGGAUACAGCCCUUAGCCGUGGUAUAUUGGCCAUAUACUACAAAUCCCCAAGGUUACCAACGUAAUUGCAACAGUAAACAUGUAAUAUUGACUCAUACCCGGGGUGUACGGUCUGAUAUACCAUGUCUUGUUAUCUGUCUCAUGUUGUACUGGUCAUCAACAUGAACAAGACUGAAUUCGGUUGAAUUGUCAACUGGUCUAAAUUCUUAUUAGGAAGAUGUUGCUGUUCAGAAUGACAUGUUUAUGACUGUUCACAGGAAUCUCCAAAUGCUAAGUUGAACGAGCACCACGGAUGAAGGAGGGGGAGGAAAACAGACAGCUUCUUUCUCCCACAUUUUCACCAAGGCAUACAAUGUUUGCUUCAUGAACAAUUGUUACAUCUGAAAUGAAUACAGAAUUAUUUUAGUUUAUUCUGUUUCCGUUUUUUAUGCUGGAUGUGAGUAAUUUAGCAGGUCUAUAGUAUGUAUUGUUUUUAAACAUUUAUUAAAUAUCUCAGUCAAAACU